GGGUGUAGCUCAGAUGGGAGAGCGCAUCGUUCGCAACGAUGAGGCCGAGGGUUCAAUCCCCUUCACCU
rnacentral:tRNA from 1 species